UUUUUUUUUUUCCUUCUUAGUCGUGUGUACAUCAUUGGGAAUGGAGGGAAAUAAAUGACUGGAUGGUCGCUGCUUUUUAAGUUUCAAAUUGACAUUCCAGACAAGCGGUGCCUGAGCCCGUGCCUGUCUUCAGAUCUUCACAGCACAGUUCCUGGGAAGGUGGAGCCACCAGCCUCUCCCUGGCUCUGCCGACUUCCAGUUCUGGAACAAGAUGGUUAAACUCAUUUUUCCCUGCUCUGCUCCUCUAAAUACAACUAAGUACCUUGGAAACUAUUCAGCAGACAAUGAUAAAGGGCUCUGAAAGCUAGAAGAAAAGGUGUACUUGCAAGAAACCUCAGGACUUGAGUAACAGCAACAUGGCAGGCCAGAAAGCAGACCCAGGGAGGAUAGCACAUGUCUUCGGCUACACUGGUGAAGGCAUCGUGCCUGCUCCACAGCACAUUUUUAUUCAAGGAAAGGAGAAAGAGACUACCUACUGCAUUUCUGUCACUCGCUGAAAAGGACACUCUGUCAGAAAAUCUUCUAGCAAACUUCAAAGGGCAAAAUCACCCCUUGUUACUGAUAAAGCCCAGAGAGCUUCAGCAGCUAACAUUCCCUGGACAGGGCACAGCAAGGAUUUGAACCUAGGUCAGUCUGGCCAGAACACCCACAAGCUUUCCUUAACUCAGUGUGCUAUCUCCCCACGACUAGGUCACUACUGCUUUAUAAUCACCUUUGUAGCCACCAGUGGAUUUUGCUCAUCAGUAUUUUUCAGGCAAUUGAUACUUUAGAUAUUCAGCUGCAAGACGUAUGCAGUUUUCAUUGACAUCUUUUGGAGAAACUGACAAACCUGGACUUGACUUAAUGCCUUUGGAACCUUCCAAGAUGUUAUAUAACUCUAGAUAGAAGGCUGGGCCUCCAUGAUGUCAGGAAUGUUGCAUUCUUAUUUCCCCAUAGAUAAACCCAUUUGUCCACAAAGUCAAGGAGUCAGGCAGAGGCCCUUGCCAUGGGGCUUUUUAGGAUAAAGCAACAAGCCUGGACUUUGCUCUACAACAGGGUUUUGCAUAGGGAGUGGUAUGACCAGAUCCCUCAAGAAAGAAAGCUUAGAGACCAGGCCAGAGUCCACUGCAGUAGCCCAGUCAAGAGAGGAUGGUGACUUGGACUUGUAGUAGAGCCAGUUAGAAUGAAAGAAAUUGACACAUUCAGAAAUGGUUUUAGAGAUAGAGUCAAACUGGACCUGAUAAAGAACUAGAGAAGCGGAGUGAGGAUAAAGAGAAGAGCCAUGACUGACUCGGAAGAUUUUGUCUUGAAAAACUUGAGAACUCAAGACAGAGUGAAAUAAAAUCACAUGUGGGAAAAAUCU
rnacentral:lncRNA from 1 species